UGAGUAACACGUGGGCAAUCUGCCCUGCACUUCGGGAUAAGCCUGGGAAACUGGGUCUAAUACCGGAUAGGACCUCAAGACGCAUGUCUUCUGGUGGAAAGCUUUUGCGGUGUGGGAUGGGCCCGCGGCCUAUCAGCUUGUUGGUGGGGUGACGGCCUACCAAGGCGACGACGGGUAGCCGGCCUGAGAGGGUGUCCGGCCACACUGGGACUGAGAUACGGCCCAGACUCCUACGGGAGGCAGCAGUGGGGAAUAUUGCACAAUGGGCGCAAGCCUGAUGCAGCGACGCCGCGUGGGGGAUGACGGCCUUCGGGUUGUAAACCUCUUUCACCAUCGACGAAGGUCCGGGUUUUCUCGGAUUGACGGUAGGUGGAGAAGAAGCACCGGCCAACUACGUGCCAGCAGCCGCGGUAAUACGUAGGGUGCGAGCGUUGUCCGGAAUUACUGGGCGUAAAGAGCUCGUAGGUGGUUUGUCGCGUUGUUCGUGAAAUCUCACGGCUUAACUGUGAGCGUGCGGGCGAUACGGGCAGACUAGAGUACUGCAGGGGAGACUGGAAUUCCUGGUGUAGCGGUGGAAUGCGCAGAUAUCAGGAGGAACACCGGUGGCGAAGGCGGGUCUCUGGGCAGUAACUGACGCUGAGGAGCGAAAGCGUGGGGAGCGAACAGGAUUAGAUACCCUGGUAGUCCACGCCGUAAACGGUGGGUACUAGGUGUGGGUUUCCUUCCUUGGGAUCCGUGCCGUAGCUAACGCAUUAAGUACCCCGCCUGGGGAGUACGGCCGCAAGGCUAAAACUCAAAGGAAUUGACGGGGGCCCGCACAA
rnacentral:rRNA from 1 species